rnacentral:lncRNA from 1 species
GUAAACCAAGUGAUCUGCCUUUAAGCAGUUGUCUGGUUUUGGUUCUUUGAAACUGUGAUUUUUUUAUUUCAUUUGUACCCAACCAUUGUUAAGUAUUUUAUUUCCUGGAAAUUUUGUUUUGAAACAGAAAAUAAAGGCUGUGUUAAAAUGAGUAUGUUAUCUUAUUAAAAUGCUGUCAUAGUCACCGCAAUCAUCUGGCUUAAACUGGUUCUUCAUUUACCAAAUCUAAUUUAGCAGAUUUUAAAACUUUAGUUCUGUAUAUAUGCUGGCUGAACAAACUAACCAAGCUGUGUGUUACCUCUUGAUUUAUAACUCCAACAAAGUUUGAGUUGGACCUCUCCUCACUUGUCAAUAAGCCAUAACUGUUGACAGUCACUAUGAUUUACUGAGUACCUAUGUUAGUUAGGCCUGUGAUUUUUUCUUUUUGGCCAUACCUGUGGCAUGUGGAAGUUCUAGCACCACAGUUGUAACCAGAGCCACAGAAGUGAUAGCACCGGAUCCUUAAUUUGCUGAGCCACAAGGGAACUCCAAGCCUGUGAUAUUUUUAAUUCACAAAACAAUCCUAUAAGCUAGAUUUGUUACUAUCUCUACAGAGAAAAUUUGAGGAUCAGAGAGAGAAAGAAUUUACCAAGGUAACAUAGCUAAUAAAUGGUGAAGUCUGGAUCUAAACCCAGGUCUGACUCCAAAGCUCAUGGAAAAAACCUGUCAGAUAUACUAGUUCCCAUUGUGGCUCAUCAGUAACAAACCUGACUAGUAUCCAUAAGGAUGCAGGUUCGAUCCCUGGCCUUGCUCAGUGGGUUAAAGGAUCCGGCAUUGCCAUGAGCUGUGGGAUAGGUCAAGACACAACUUGGAUCCCGUGUUGCUGUGGCUGUGGUGUAGGCUGGCAGGUGCAGCUCUAAUUCGACCCUCAGCCUGAGAACUUCCAUAUCCUGCAGAUGCAGCCCUAAGAAGCAAAAACCAAACAGACCAUUUAGACUAGGUUUUCAACUAUUAUGAUUAAUAUAUACCCUUUUCAUAUAUAUUUUAUGAGGUUAUAUCCAGUGCCUGUUUUACAAUUUUAGGAGCAGCAAUAUAUGUUUAUGGUACAAGCAAGGAUUCAAAAUGUGUCCUUUGCACAAACCUUUUAGAGUAUUUCCUUCCAUCUGACAGUGUUUAUGGCCAACCUUCAGAAAAAAAAGUGCGUUUGGAAAUCUCCCUUGCACAUCUUUAAUUUACCACACUACAAUGACUUGGGAAACUGUCAAAUGAAGUCGGAUCCCUUCUUCAUUUGAUAAUUUAGGUAGAAGAUUCAUUCAUGUUUAUGCAAACAGCCAUGGAGGAAGAGUAUGAAGCCUAUCAGAACCAUUCAAGAUUAGAUGAGGAUUUUUAAAGUGUUUUUAAAAAUCGAAUAUCUUGAUUUUUUGACCCAAUGACUCCAAAGCAUUCUCUGUUAGGUGAUCCCUAAAGGGAGCAUACAAGGUACGUUGUUGAAAAAGCAGAUUUUUAGAUACACAGACCUCUGAAACCUCUAUUUUCUCAUUUGUAAAAUAAGAUGGUUGUGAGCAUUAAAUGAGAUAUGUCCCAAAUUUGCUAAUUGUGCUUAUUGUUAGACAUCUCUGGUGACUUUCACAAUAUACUUGCACUUGGGAAAUCAGACUGGUUUGGAAAUGGGCCCUGAUUCUCAUAGUUAAUAUAUGUGCCUUUUGGAGUCCAGAAGAUCUGGAUUUGCAGUCGCUUUGUGAGAAAAUUACUUUUCAGCUUUAAUUUCCUUAUCUAUAAAAAGGAUAACUGCCUCAGUGGUGUUAUUUUGAGAGUAAAGAAAAAAAAUAUAAAGGGUCUAGCACUGUGCCUGGCACAUAGUAGGUUUGCUCAAAUAAUAGUAACGACUACUGAAGGGACCUUACAUAUCACUAGAGAGAAGAGGAAACAGUCAUAUAGAGGUGUGACAAAAUGGAACCCAGCCUGCGAGUCAACAUGAGGUCUUUUGGUGAAAGACUGGUUAUUGGCCUCAUUGGUGUUAGAUCAUGUAAAGCGAGUUCAGAGGUGAAAGUGUUUAAGUUGGGGGAUAAAACACCAUACAAUCCAUUUAAAAUGUGCCAUCAUUAAUGAGCACCUGAUAAAAGAAUUAUAUGACAAAUUAAGUCUGUGACUAAAGAGUUUAGAAGGAGCUGAAGUAGUAGCAGUUGGGGAAAAAAGAUGGGUCUUAAGACAGAUCCUUAGGAUAAACAGAUGGAGAACUGGAAAAAACUAGCUCAUAUGCAUGUUACAAAUGUGGAAAUUGGCUCAGGAACUUAACCAGUAUUUGUAAGGUUUCUCCAUUUCAGCUCAGAGGUUCUCAUUCCUGGCUGCAUAUUAAAAUCACCUGGGGAGCUAUUUUUAAAAAUUAGUCUUGGUUGCACAAUGUGAAUGUAUUAAUGCUACUGAACUAAAUACUUAAAAAAUGGUUAAGAUGGUAAUUUUUCUGUUUUAUCACAAUUUAAAAUAAAAAUAAGGAAUUCCCGUUGUGGCACAGUGGAAACGAAUCCAACUAGGAACCAUGAGGUUUCAGGUUUGAUCCCUGGCCUAGCUCAGUGGGUUAAGGAUCCAGUGUUGCCAUGAGCUGUGGUGUAGGUUCCAGAUGCGGCUCGAAUCUGGCAUUGCUGUGGCUGUGGCACAGGCCAGCAGUUGUAGCUCCAAUUAGACCCCUAGCCUGGGAACUUCCAUAUGCCACGGGUGCGGCGCUAAAAUGACAAAAGAUAAAAUAAAAGUAAUUAAUGUCUGGAUGCCACCCCUAUAAUUAGUAUUGUUUUAAAAAGCUCCCCAGGUGAUAUAUUAGUAUCAUACAUAUUAACCUAACUGGUGUUGACAACCACUGUCAUUGUUUCUUUUACUAAUCAAAUGAUUUCCUGCUAUUAUUGCUGGUUCCAGAAACACAAGCAAUAUGGUAGCUCAUCGGACCCUCUGGUGAAUUAUCUCCUAUAACCAUAUGAGCUUACAACCUCUCAAACAGGCCUCAAGGCUUUGGGCAAUAGAGAAAGCUACGUGGGCCCCUAACCUAGACUGAACAGUUAGUUAUUACUUAGGUGGAAGGUAUCAAAAGACUGAAUAACAAUGUGAACUCUCCAAGCAACCUCUUUAAGCUUCUCUCUACCCCCCCUUUUUUUUUCCACUUUUCAGGACUGCACUUGUGGCAUAUGGAAGUUCCCAGGUUAGGAGUUGAAUCAGAGCUGCAGCUAUCGGCCUAUGCCAGAGCCACAGCAAUGUGGAAUCCGAGCCAUGUCCAUGACCUACAACACAGCUCACCACACGCCAGAUCCUUAACCCACUGAGCAAGGCCAGGGAUUGAACCUGCAUCCUCAUGGAUACUAAUACAUUACUAUGUACUUUACCUAAGAAUUUACCCAAGAAUUACUGGUAUCCUCAUGGAUACUGCUACANNNNNNNNNNNNNNNNNNNNNNNNNNUUUUAAUAAUAACACUUAUUAGCUGCUUACUGUGCCAGUUAUAUGCUAAGUUUAAUCUUCACAAGCUUCUGAGAUAAGUAUCUUUACCAUCUCCCUUCUAAGCUCCUUGACUGUCCUGAAAACAUUUCUCCUAGCCCAGCUUUAUUCCUGGCAUGUAGUAGGUACCAAAUAAAUCUGAAUAAAUUAAUGAGUCCCUAUUUCACAAAUACAUUUAGGGCUCAAGAGGAUAAAUAACUUGUUAAGUUAUAUAGCAAAUAAGGAGUUGAACUGGUAUUGGAGCCCAGAUCUCAGUUCCAAAGCACACACUUUAAUCACUAUUCUGUGACAUGUACUAUUCCCUUCUAUUUUCAGGGCUUAGGCCUCUGUUAUCUCUACCCUCUCUAUGAUCAAUGUCUAGCAUAAAGUUUCUCCUGUGCUGUAUAUGUUAAGAUUCUUAUAAGUAAUAGAAAUCCAAUUUGAACAAAUUGAAACAAAAAGAGGAAUUCAUUAUAAAGAUGGUGGUGUCUCACAAAACCCAAGGAUAAUACAGGUGGAUUUUAGAACAAAUAAUCAGGUGCUCUAAUGCAGCCAGAAUUUCUCAUCUCUCCUCCUUGAGCUCAAUCUCAAAUUCUCUGGGAAGGUACAAAAAGAAUGGUUCCUGGUGGCAACCAUGAGGGUAAGAUAGAAAGUGGUUGAAAAGGGGUGCUGUGGAGACAAAACAAUAUAUGUUUACCUAUAGUUUUCCAUUUGACUGCCCCAUAAACACAUAUGCCAUUUUCCCCAUAUCAAUAAUUCCAAAAAUGCCCAUACCUAACAAUCUAUGAACAAGUCACAUGCAAUCUGUGAAUAAGUCACAUGCAACUACUGCAUCCAAAAACAAUGGCAUGGCAUGGACAUUCCCCUUCCCCACCAGGGCCAAGUAUACACUAUUUUCACCUGAAUAGGAAGGAAGGAAAUAAAUUUUGGAUACAGAAACACUUAUGGGAGUCAAGUUUAUUGAUGCUCCUUCUUGCUUAACCAAUCUGUACUUGGGCCUGCUCUAAAAAAGUAGUGAUUCUCAGCAUUGGAUUCACUAAAGAAUUACUGCAACCUACAAAAAACUCUCAGCAUAAGCACUCCAUUCUAACACCUGCAGUAAGAGAGGGCCAAACCACCUAAGUCUGAGUCUCUGGGAUGACAGAGUUCCCAUUUGGAAAAGCUCAGGGCUGUAGAAAGAACUUAUAGUCUGCUCUAGCUGACAAUUGACUAUAGACUCCUGACUUCCCUUUCUUAGAGCAUUUUCCAAAAAGGGCUUACAAUUAUAAAUUCUCCCGCAGUCCCUUUGAGAUGUAUAUAUAUGGCUCCUACAACUCCAGAGAGUGUGUCUCAAGGACUACUCCUUUGAAAUGUAAUCUCCAGAAGGCUAGGGCCUCUGUCUCCUAGUAAUCAUGGGAGGGUAUAAUCCUAACUUCAAUAAUUACCAGCUAGCAGAUACAGCUGGCCUAAUUGCAUUUACAUUAGCCAAACCUUUUGUAAGUUUUCACUUCUCUGACUCUACUUGAGCCCCUUUUUGCUUCUCCUCCCUCCCCCCUUUAAAAUGCUCAGUCAUCUCUGCACAGAUGGGAAUGGAGCUUUGCUCUUUCUUUCUCCUCCGGUCAGCAAUUGAAUAAAAUCUGUUCUCACUGCUUUAACCACUGUCACACUUUGUUUAUCUUUGACACCACUUAAACCACAGAUAGCUGGCCUCACUCUCAGAGUUUCUGAUUCAGGAGGUCUGGGGUGAGGCCCAAAAAUUUACCUUUCCAGGUGUCAACAGUCCAGGGACCAUACUUUGAGAAUCAAUGCUCUGGCUCAUGGCACCUGUUCACUAGAUAGGAUUUUUCUAGUGAUAUAACUUCCUCAAAAUCUCAUUUGACCACCUGUCAACUUCAUUUGAGGUGGAUCAUAAUGCUAAUAACAAGUGCCAAGAAUUUAUGCUCUUUGAAUCUUUGGAUUUGCUAAAGGGAAUAACCUGUUUUAUCUGUUGCAGCUCUAUUUCUUAGCUCUCUACCUAAGAAACUGGCUCCUUCUCCCUGGCAUUCUGCUCAGGGUCUCCAAUUCAGAGCAUGGAUAGGAAGCAGUAGGCCAAGUUCAAGGAUGCGAAGCCUCUUUUAUGAUCUACUCUGGGAGUGUUACCCUUCUCUUCCUUGCAUUCCAGCUGAAUGCAUGCACAGAGGAAGAUAUCAUCACUUUUGGGGGAGAUGGAGAACAAGGAAUACUGGCUUACACAGAUAACUUCAUUCUAGUUGCCUGGAUGCCAGUUUCCUAAUUAGUGAAACAUGAAGGGAUACAGAGUCCUAUUGGUAUAAGUCAGCAAAGCCCAUGAAUAUCUGACCAUCAGCAAUUGCCAAACUCUUGAUACAGACAGAAGAGCUGCUCUGUUUUUGAGUCUCAAGAGCAAUAAGCAACUGCUUCUGCCAAAGAAUGCCAACUUCUAAGUAAUGAUAGGAGAGAUCGCCAAUCUCUGACAGUUCCAUAGUUUAGGGUGUAUAAUUUGCCACACCCCAUUUCUGGUACUAGUUCUUGAAUUAAUAUUUUUGUGUCAUAAGUAAUUUCUAACCCCUCUAUCUUAAAAAUAGUAAGGAUAUGAGGUUACCUCAGAGAAACCAAAGACAAGAAUGCCUGAGGAAUGAUAUAGAACCAGGGACUUACAAUGAAGACUCCCUAUCUUCCACCUCUGCUCUGCGAGUCUGCAUUUUUCUUCUCUUCCUGCAAACCAGAAUCUUUUACUUCUGUCCCUCUGGUGAGAAAACUUACUGCUGACCACUUCCAAGUUUUAUGCUAAAAGAAAAACUGACUUUGGAAUUCCUUUAUGGUACAGUGGAUUAAGGACCUGGUAUUGUCACUGCAGCAGCUUGGCACUGCUGUGGCACUGGUUUGAUCCCUAGCCUGGAAACUUCCACAUGCUGUGGGUGCAAUCAAAAAACCAAACCAAACCAAAAAAAAAAAAAAAACCAUCUCUCUGAUUCAGUUCCAAAUGUCUAGGGAAUGAGAUUCUUUGACCCAAUCAGCUAUGGUUAUGGACAACACGACAAUUUUUGUUGUACCUCGGUAAAUGAGAGGGUUAAUUCAUAGAAAAGGAGGGCUGAACAGACAAUCCAAUGUGUCCACUUAUAUUCCCCUAUUCCUUCCAGCCUCUGUUCUCUCACUGCUUAUUUUCACAAGUUACUUAUGUGCACUGCCUCUUCAUCCACAUAUUCUUUGUCAAUCUGGCUUGUUCUAUCUCCACUAUUCUUUUAUGGUAAAUUUCUUUAUGGAACUUGAAGCUUUUACAUCCUAAUAAACUAUUCUCAGAAUUCAUACCCCUUGACUACUCUUGGGUUCUGCACUUUUCCCUUCUAACUUGGCCUCCCUUAUCUAUUAAUACCUUCUAUUAAGUUCCAAAGCAGAUCUUACUACUACUCACUGUUAUGGAACAGAAUGGAUCUUGUUUUCUACCCUCCUCCUGUUGAAAUGAAAUGGAGUUUUAACUAAAGGACAACCCCCCCCCCCUUGGCUAAGAAGGCAGCUGCAAGCCUUUCCAGCUGUGCUCAUCACUAUACCACCCUUCUUGUAAUAAUGUAACAACUGUGUGCCCUAUGUCCAAGCCAGAAGCCCUGCUAAUCAGGUACCCAACAUUGCGUAUCAGUUCCGCUUCUGUAACCUUGCCCGCUCAGUUUCUUAGGGAGGAACACUGUCUGCUUGGGGAUGGGGGGAGGUCCGGGAUGCUUACAUGGGAAAAUCAAGACCUUGUAGUGUAUAAAAGUUACUGAGAACAAAGACCUGGUGCUCAGAUUCUGGAGAUGACGCCUGAGCCCAAACCGGUGCUGAAUAAAACUUGCUUUUCCAUAUCUCCGAGUGCUGUUUGUCUCCUUCCGUUGCCACAGUUUCUGCGGUUUCCGCAACAUUUUUGGUGCGUUGGCCGGGAAGCCGACAACCAAGCUGGCUUCUUGUGCCACCAUUGUCGGGGAACCGGGGGAGGCCACGGUCGCCAGCCCGGUGACAGGUGGAUAGCCCGCACCGGCCAUUUUGCCGGAUCCAGACCCUCACUCGGGCCAUGGCCUUGGCCCACACCGCUUCCCGAACAGACUCAGAAGGAGAGUGGAAACAGGUUCCUGGACAGGACUUCAGACUGGUGAGUGCCCUGGGGACAUCUGCCCAAGUUAGGACCCGCCAUAUGGCGGAAGGAGAGACUGAUCACCUCUCAGUGACCAAAGAGUCACUCAGGUCAGGGUUUGCUCCCUUGGGAUCAGGAGGCUUGUCAAUUCUGGUGUGUGUGUGUGAGUAACUGGAGAGAAUGAGAGGCCAUGCCCCACCGUCUUUGGACUACGGAGCCAGAGUGAGUCCUAACCUGCAGUUCCGCGGCGACCCUCAUAUGGCUUAUGGUGGCCCUCUUCGGGGGGAUCCUGACGUUGGGGUUUAUACAGUCCCACCUAUGCUAAGAGGCGCCUGAAAUAUCUCCUCUGGGGGAGCGGUCAGGCGGAUGAAGCGAUUGUUACCUGAGGCCUUGCCCUCACUGUUUGUCUUGCGUCACCGGCACAGGGUGGGACUUCACACAAUGGGUAAAUCGGCUUCCAAGCCCACUGUCUUAGAGUAUAUGGUUAAGAAUUUUAAGAAAGGAUUUUCUAGAGAUUAUGGUGUUAAACUGAGUCCUGGAAAACU